GAAAUCUUGGAUAAGCCAGAGCAGGAGCAGCCUCCCUCUUUCUCUUCAGAGAAGAGAAUACAGCAGAAUAAAAUGGCGUCGUCGUCAGCUAUUUCGAGAGCCGAAAUCCUGUCUCUGUACCGCUCUCUUCUACGCACAGCCCGCCAAUUCUGCGAUUACAACAUCAGAGAAUACACGAAGCGCCGCAUCAUCGACGCUUUCUGCGAAAACCGGAACCUAUCGGACCCCUCUACCAUCUACGCUGCUUUCUCUGACGGUAAGGCUCAGCUCGAAGUCGCUAAAAGACAAGCCACCGUCUACUCUCUCUACGCCCCCAAAAUCAAGAGCGUCAUGGAAACCAAUUCCUUUUCUUCUGUUUCUAAUUAGAUAAAAUAUGGUAAGAAAAAGAACCCUCUCGUUCACAAUGAUGAUGGGUAUUUUUUUUUUGAACUUAAUUUUACUUUGUAAGUGCUGCUAUUGUAUUUCUUGGUACUAGCAAGUUUUGUUUUUCGAAGUGAGAGUUUGAAACUUUGAAUGGCAUAUGAGAACUGAAAUCUUUCUUCUUUGGAACAAUUCAUACGGAUUUAAUUCCCAAUUUUAGUUGCUUAUUUUAACUUAUAAUUCUGUGGCUGAAGGGAAUAUUGUAUCCAAAAAUCAGGGAAUUUGAGUGAUAAUUGAGUUAAUUACAAUACUUUUUUUU
rnacentral:misc_RNA from 1 species